rnacentral:lncRNA from 1 species
CUUACCUCUGGGUUGCGAAAAUUAUUCAGUAGCUUAAAAGAGAGACAGUAUCAACAAACACCUUCCUCCUCAACUUCAUUCAAUCUCCGGUAUUAUAGGAAGAAACCAUUCUGGGAGAUGACUACCAAGAACCUGGAAAGCAGAGCCUCAGGAUGCCACGGGGCGGAUGUGCGGUAACAGGUGCUGUCGUACAAAUGAACCUUGUGGAGAGGGUUUGCCAUCACCAGCAGCAGCACCCCCCAAAUUGCCUUCUUCCAGCAGUAAUUACAUGACUUGCUGUUUUGGAGAACCUGAUAGAGAAGUUGCCUGUACUUUCCCCUGUACUUUACCUGCUUGUACGUUCCAGGUCAGAGGAGGUUUGCAUUUUUGUCAUAUUGCAAUACUUGCCUUUAUGUAAGUGCUGCUAAGAAUAAAAUUAUCAGUGGGAG